UGGACACCGGACACGUGGCCACACAAUGGGGACACACGACUGACCUCAGUCACUUCGGCAAACUGCCCCUGCUUUCCGGAGACGGCAGGAGCGUUUCGGGAGCUCCAGCUCAAGGGCCCGGGGGCGCCCGCGUUCCUCUCCCCAGCAGAUCCUGAUGUCGAAUGCAGUUUUCAUCUAAGGGAUCAUCUACCUCCAGGAUUCCCUAACAUAGAAGAGGGAUCUGAAGAUCCAGAAACUAAGACCUUUUUGCAUGGGAGGAGAAAGAGGAACCUCUCCACUUCUCUGGGUGUGUGUGCAUGCUCAAUCACUCAGUUGUAUUUGACUCUUUGCAACCCUCUGGACCGGACCAUAACCCACCAGUCUCCUCUGUCCAUGGAAUUUCCUAGGCAAGAAUACUGGAGUGCGUUGCUAGUUUCUCAUCCAGGGGAUCUUCCUGACCCAGGGAUCGAACCUAUGUCUCCUGUGUCUCCUGUGUUGGCAGGCAGAUUCAUUACCACUGAGCCAUGUGGGAAGCUCUAUAUUCUGGGUAAUUCACACAAAAGGGGGUCAGUGUCCUGCCUCCCUAUUACAACAAUGGCAACCCCUGUAAAUUGUGAAGGGAUCUGCAAAGUGAAUUUACAAACAACAUCCUAUUUCCUUGACAGGUAAGCAA
rnacentral:lncRNA from 1 species